rnacentral:rRNA from 1 species
ACAUGCAAGUCGAGGGGCAGCACAGGUAGCAAUACCGGGUGGCGACCGGCGCACGGGUGAGUAACGCGUAUGCAACCUGCCCGAUACCGGGGUAUAGCCCAUGGAAACGUGGAUUAACACCCCAUAGUACUUUUAUCCUGCCUGGGAUGGGAGUUAAAUGUUCAAGGUAUCGGAUGGGCAUGCGUCCUAUUAGUUAGUUGGCGGGGUAACAGCCCACCAAGACGAUGAUAGGUAGGGGUUCUGAGAGGAAGGUCCCCACAUUGGAACUGAGACACGGUCCAAACUCC